GCGCAGACAAAGGCUGCAGACAGCACUCCUUGUUUGUUAUCUUUAUUUUAUAAGUGCACAAAGUUUUGUUGUUAUUGUGUCUGUAUACAAAAAAAAGUAGACCCUUUACAGAUUCGAUUGAUGUAUUGCACUUAUCUGUACGAUCAAAACUGAAAGUGUAAUUUAAGUUCUUUUCGGGGUUAUCAGGAGAAAAUACCCCAAAACGCGUAUACGCGUUAAUCGACUCCAGAGGUUUAAGUCUUUGGUUCUUUUGAUUGUGAUGAUUUUGGCUCACAUUUAACAAAAGUCCACCAAUUCACUAUCUCAAUAAAUUAAAAUACUUCAUAAUACCAAUAAAAAAAAUCAUUUUUAGUGAACUUUUGGC
ensembl:lncRNA